rnacentral:lncRNA from 1 species
AAAACUUACCUGAAAUAUAGACUAUUUUGAAUCGUAUUACUCCAUCUAUCAAAAUUUUGAUUUUAUUGCCCAAUCUUUUAAUUUAUUUGAUUUGAGUCAAUAAACGAUACUUUGACUUCUAAAAUUACAAUGUCUCAUUUAUUUUUACAAAUGAAUUUAAUUAUUAUAUUUUUCUCACAACUAUAAAUUCAUAUUCUAUUUU